CCUACGGGUGGCUGCAGUGAGGAAUAUUGCGCAAUGGGCGAAAGCCUGACGCAGCGACGCCGCGUGGAGGAUGAAGGCCUUCGGGUUGUAAACUCCUGUCAGUGGGGAAGAGAAUGGACGGUACCCACUGAGGAAGCUUCGGCUAACUACGUGCCAGCAGCCGCGGUAAGACGUAGGGAGCAAGCGUUGUCCGGAAUUACUGGGCGUAAAGAGCUCGUAGGCGGGUUCGUAAGUCUUAGAGUAAAUCUCACGGCUCAACCGUGGGGCCUUCUGAGAUACUGCGAAUCUUGAGGAUGUCAGAGGAAAGUAGAAUUCCCGGUGUAGCGGUGAAAUGCGUAGAUAUCGGGAGGAAUACCAGUGGCGAAGGCGACUUUCUGGGACAUUCCUGACGCUGAGGAGCGAAAGCGUGGGGAGCAAACGGGAUUAGAUACCCCAGUAGUC
rnacentral:rRNA from 1 species